rnacentral:rRNA from 1 species
UACGUAGGUGGCAAGCGUUGUCCGGAAUUAUUGGGCGUAAAGAGCUCGUAGGCGGUUCGUCGCGUCGGCUGUGAAAACCUGAGGCUCAACCUCAGGCCUGCAGUCGAUACGGGCGGACUUGAGUACUGCAGGGGAGACUGGAAUUCCUGGUGUAGCGGUGAAAUGCGCAGAUAUCAGGAGGAACACCGGUGGCGAAGGCGGGUCUCUGGGCAGUAACUGACGCUGAGGAGCGAAAGCGUGGGGAGCGAACAGG